UACAGAGGUCUCAAGCGUUGUUCGGAUUCAUUGGGCGUAAGGGGUGCGUAGGCGGCGCGGUAAGUCGGGUGUGAAAUCUCGGAGCUUAACUCCGAAACUGCAUUCGAUACUGCCGUGCUUGAGGACUGGAGAGGAGACUGGAAUUUACGGUGUAGCGGUGAAAUGCGUAGAUAUCGUAAGGAAGACCAGUGGCGAGGGCGGGUCUCUGGACAGUUCCUGACGCUGAGGCACGAAGGUCAGGGGAGCAAACGGG
rnacentral:rRNA from 1 species